rnacentral:rRNA from 1 species
GUCUACAGCCAUAUCACCAUGAACACACCCAAUCUCUUCUGAUCUUGGAAGCUAAGCAGGGUUGGACGUGGUUAGUACUUGGAUGGAGAGAGAAGGAAGAACUCAUAUACA